UGAGGAAUAUUGGUCAAUGGUCGGGAGACUGAACCAGCCAAGCCGCGUGAGGGAUGAAGGUACUAAGUAUUGUAAACCUCUUUUGUUCAGGGAACAAAGG
rnacentral:rRNA from 1 species